AGCUCCAAUAGCGUAUAUUUAAGUUGUUGCAGUUAAAAAGCUCGUAGUUGGAUUUCGGGUGGGUAGCAGCGGUCUCGCAUUGCGUUUGUACUGCUGCAGCCUACCUUGCUGCCGGGGACGCGCUCUGGGACUUCAUUGUCUCGGGCGCGAAGUCGGCGAUGUUACUUUGAGUAAAUUAGAGUGUUCAAAGCAAGCUUACGCUCUGAAUAUAAUAGCAUGGGAUAACACGACAGGACUCUGGCCUAUCGUGUUGGUCUAUAGGACCGGAGUAAUGAUUAAGAGGGACAGUCGGGGGCAUUCGUAUUUCGUUGUCAGAGGUGAAAUUCUUGGAUUUACGGAAGACGAACAUCUGCGAAAGCAUUUGCCAAGGAUGUUUUCA
rnacentral:rRNA from 1 species